ACAAGGUGUGUGUGUGCGUGAGAACGAUCAGGAGCAAGGGGAAACCCUUCUCCUUCAACUACUUACAAGAAAUCAAGAAUUGAACCUGAUUUUGGGGAGAAAUCGGAUGGAUGAGCUUAUAUUCUUAAUCAUCUAGACAAGAUGAACAUGUGAAUUGGAAUCACACGAGCAUGGGCCAAGCAUGGAAGGCUAACGGGUCAAGAUGAGGCAAGGAAGCGGUUACGGGCAAGGAUGCACAAGGUAAGUAAUUUCCGUAAUUACUUCUUAGUUGUUUAUGUAAAGUUAUAUGCGACUUAACUAAGUAUGAUAAUUGAGGUCAUAUAGGAAUGAAUGGUAUGAUAUCGAUGAAGUGUUAAACGGAUCUUAGCUUUGAUCCGAGCAAGGUAUGUGUGAUUAAGAAUUGUAGCUAAGCGAUAGGAUUGAUUACUUAUGCAAGAUAGUACUUUGUUGUUAAAGAUGGGGCAAGGUUGACAAAAACGCCCUUGAUGGGUAUUUGGGGCAAACGACCUUAAAAGUCGUUUGGUAACGAGCUAUUCGAUUAGAGUAAUGUCUUUGUCAAGUAUGAAAGCGAAGUAUAGGGUUUUGUAUGUCGUAGACCAUUUUAUGCACAAAUACCCAUAACGGGUCAAAAAGGAGCUUUUGGGCGAAAAUGGGUAAGAGGAUGCAAAGCAUCCGAGAGUUUUAAUCUCUUUUGAUAGUCGUUAAUAAAAUGAUUAAGUUCAUAUGAAAUUGAGGUCAUAAAAACAGAUUAUGUGGAUUUGCAUGACGGGUCGAAUAAUUCGUAAAUGAUUAUUAAGCCGAUAGCGUGUAAGUUAAGAAUUCCCUUAACCCGGAUAUGGGAUUUUAAGUUCAUAUGAUAGAAUGUGAAUUUACAAGCAUGUAGGAAGAAACGUGAGGUUAAACGGACAAUUGGGUUAAAAGUUAUGCGAGUUUUAGUGGGCGUUUUAUAUCUGCACCCGGAGUAUGGAACGCCGGGUUUGGGAGUAUGGAACGCCGGGCAGAAACCCAAACGCCCAUGCUUCACUGUCAAACGCUGGUUCCAUGUUAAAGUGAACGUCGGGGUGUUCCAAACAAGCCUAGAUCACUUUCCUUGAGUUCCUUUGAUGUGUGUAAAGCUCCAUGUGAUAGGUUUAUGAUCCGGAAUCACCACGUAACCUUCCACCACUAUCCUACAUGUAAAAAUGCAUCAAAGUAACAUGUCUCGAUACAAAUUCGAUGCUAAAACAUGUAAAUAUUAACCACUUAGGCGUACCAAAAGCAUAUGCAUCAGAUAUGUACGUAUGUAUGUAUGUAUAAACAUGAUUGUAUGUAGAUAUGUAGGUGCGUAUGAUCAGACGUAUGAAUAUAUGAAUGCACGAAGUAGGAUUUAUCAUCUAUGAAAAGAAUGGGACAGGUAUGCAUGUAUACAUGGUUUCAAUACGUUUGAGUAUGGACGUUACUAAUGAUGUGCUUGAGAUUGAAAUGUAAUGCAGGAAUGAGAACGUCAGACUCUUGUAGAAUUGAAGCCGAACCUUGAAGCCGAACUCGGAACAAAGGAAUCCGAGAGGAUAGUCGAAUGAAUCAAAGUUUAUGUUGUCGAAUGUUAUAUGAUUUUUAAUUUGUAUCAGAUUAUUGUCGUAUGACGUGGUCAAUGACUAAUGGUUAAGUUGUAUGUGGUGUCCACAGGUACUACACGGAUUUCUUCUACCACUAUCGAAGAUAAGCGGGCAUAGAUCGAGUCGAAUAACAAGGGUUGUACGGAAAGAACGGUUACGUGGUCUUAAUUUUGUAACGCAUAAAUUUUCAAACUAAAAAGGGAAGUGAAUUUUGUAAGCUUCUUCUUGAAUGUGUGUAUUGUUAUAAGACCGUAAAGAAAAUUUUAAAGCUAUUUUUCCGCUGCGUUAUCUUUAA